rnacentral:rRNA from 1 species
AUUGAACGCUGGCGGCAGGCUUAACACAUGCAAGUCGAACGAGUGGCGGCCGGGUGAGUAAUGCUUGGGAAUCUAGCUUAUGGAGGGGGAUAACUACGGGAAACUGUAGCUUAUACCGCGUACCAUAGUAUGAGCCACAGUGGGAUGAGGUAGUUGGUGAGGUAAAGGCUCACCAAGCCGACGAUCUCUAGCUGGUCUGAGAGGAUGAUCAGCCAUACGAGGCAGGAGACACGGCCCAGACUCCUACGGGAGGCAGCAGUGGGGAAUAUUGCACGAUGGGGGCAAGCCUGAUGCAGCCAUGACGCGUGUAUGAAGAAGGCCUUAGGGUUGUAAAGUACUUGCAGCGGGGAGGCGUUACCCGCAGAAGAAGCACCGGCUAACUCCGUGCCAGCAGCCGCGGUAAUAC